UCCGGCUCCUCCUCGGCUGCCUCCUGCCCCGCGUCCUCGGGCUCCUCCAGGAAGGUGGCAAGUAUAUCAAGUGGUUGACUUUCGGCUGUGUAACAGCACAUCUUUCACCUCAUCAGAGCAUUCAACCUCCAAGUCUUGGAACCAAGAAGGAGCCAAGCAUGGAGGCGGCAGAUCUGCUUGUUGUUUUGAGAGAAAAGGUGAGGAAGAGCUGAAGAGAAACCAUAGGACAUACUGCCAUCUAUGCUAGGUUGAUGCGAUGGAGGCUGGUGUCUGGCCAGAUGACUUUGGCAAGAUCUAGAAUCACCUCAUUCAUUGGGAGGGCAACUUUGGACAAGGAGGCAGCAUGGAGAAUACCCAUCAGCUUGUGAUGCGUUCUUAUCUCCUGCAGGGGAAUUUGCAGCUCAUCUGCCACUCUCCUGAACUUCACACACUAAAAAUCUAGAAAUUAAACCUUUAAUGCUUAGACAAGAUGGUCAUCACAUUACCCUAGAAGCAUCCAAUUGCGAAUGAAUAUUUGAUUAAAAAGAUACAGAGGAAAAUAUAGCACAAUGCCGCAUUUCAACAAUGACAAGCAAUCACACACAAGGGAAAAAGAGGGGAAAACUCUUCAAUUUCAAAUUUCUGGGGAAACUUCAAGAGGGCCUCGAGCAGGUGAUCGAGAACGAGGAGAAUUCCUGGGAGACUGCUUUGGUGAAGGCCAUGGCGAGUUGCGUGGUGAUGGUGAGAAC